rnacentral:rRNA from 1 species
AGUGAACGCUGGCGGUAGGCCUAACACAUGCAAGUCGAACGGCAGCACAGUAAGAGCUUGCUCUUACGGGUGGCGAGUGGCGGACGGGUGAGGAAUACAUCGGAAUCUACUUUUUCGUGGGGGAUAACGUAGGGAAACUUACGCUAAUACCGCAUACGACCUACGGGUGAAAGCAGGGGAUCUUCGGACCUUGCGCGAUUGAAUGAGCCGAUGUCGGAUUAGCUAGUUGGCGGGGUAAAGGCCCACCAAGGCGACGAUCCGUAGCUGGUCUGAGAGGAUGAGCAGCGACACUGGAAAUGAGACAAGGUGCAGAAUAAUACGGGAGGCAGCAGUGGGGAAGAUUGGAAAAGGGGCGAAAGCCUGAACCAGCCAUACAGAGUAGGUGAAGAAGGCCUUCGGGUUGUAAAGCACUUUUGUUGGGAAAGAAAAGCAGCAGGUUAAUACCCCGAUGUGCUGACGGUACCAAAAGAAUAAGAACAGGAUAACUUAGUG